rnacentral:rRNA from 1 species
UGAAGCCGCGAAUGGCUCAUUACAACAGCCAUAGUUUCUUAGAUCUUACUUUUCUACUUGGAUAACUGUGGUAAUUCUAGAGCUAAUACACGCAAACAAGCUCAGACCUUACGGAAUGAGCGCAUUUAUUAGAACAAAAACCAAUCGGAUCUCGGUCCGUCAUUUGGUGAAUCUGAAUAACUUUGCUGAUCGCACGGUCAUCGUACCGGCGACAUAUCUUUCAAAUGUCUGCCUUAUCAACUUUCGAUGGUAGUUUAUGCGCCUACCAUGGUUGUAACGGGUAACGGAGAAUAAGGGUUCGACUCCGGAGAGGGAGCCCGAGAAACGGCUACCACAUCCAAGGAAGGCAGCAGGCACGCAAAUUACCCACUCCCGGCACGGGGAGGUAGUGACGAAAAAUAACGAGACGGCUCGCUAUGCGGUCCGUCAUCGGAAUGGGUACAAUUUAAAUCCUUUAACGAGGAUCUAUU